AUCACACCAAACUGCAUUCAGCUGGCUCCUCACUUCCCCUUCCAGGAAAAAAGGUUUUAACACCAAUGGAAGACAUUAAAUAAUUGGUGAAAAUGAAAGAUCUGCUUUCAUUUCUGUCCCCAGUCACCUGCACUUGGCACGUUGUGCCUUGUCAGCACAGUGGCCUGGAUCAUACUGUGCUGCCUGGUGCCAUCUCUGGGAAACACCCAUAUAAGGACUCCUUAGACAGCAGCUGCAGCAGCCGGGCUGACUGCUGGGGCACUUCCAGACAUCUGCCUUGGAAACAGGGAUUUGAAGAUGCUCCAUUUUGCACAACCUUUGCCUUAGGGUGCACAUCAGCACUGCUGCUGUCUGCUGUCCUUCGUGUUUGGGAAUCAGAGCACAGCUUUCCUUCUGCAAUGACUCAAGACCAGUACCUUUCUGAUAGUACCCUGCUGAUUUGUACUGCCCACAGUUCUCUCAUUUCUAAUUAGUCCAUAUGGUAACAUGGCUCAAAUUUUGGGCACCCCUUAGUAUCAAGCUCAGCCAGAGUACUUGGCUUGCUUUGGCUUCCCAGGAGCAGGUGUACUGGGGAAAUGGUGGGAAUGCAGGGACAUAAACAGGAUUGUUAAAAAUUAACAUGAAGAACCUCACUGCCUCUUCAGAUGCUUAAAUAACAUUUGAAAUCUGUCCUCUGAUAUUAGUUCUUCUCAUUGGAUGGUUUUGAGAAUGUAGUUAUUGCACACACAAGGAUUUUAAUCUGCAAAGGGUCUCUCCUGUCCCUCCCAGAAGUUUUGAAAGCUCACAGUCAUCUCAUCUGCUCUGCCUGUGGCUUUGGACUGAGCAGUUCAGGGCACCUCAUUGCUCCCCUUUCAUCUGAAGGCCAAUCUGACUCCAGAGUACAGAGGAGAAGUGACUCACAAUGAGCUCUCUGGACACUGGACUUCAUUCCAUUCCCUCAAGCACUAUCCAUGUUGCUCAAUUUUUAGCACUUGGUCUCAGGAAAAUCUCAUCCUUCAAGGCCACAAGGGAUCUUCUUUACUAUGUGUAAUGCUCUUCACACACAGCCAUGGGGUUUCUAUAAGGAGUUCCUGCACCUGCUCUGUGUCCUUCACUGCACUAAAACUAUCAGACAGAUACCUUUGAUUUAAUGCUCUCUGCUCUCAGGGAUAUUCCUGCAUUUCUAGGUCCAUGCUUCCAAUGGCUUAUUAUUUCCCCUGAGGAUUCACACAAGGUGUCUUGCUUGAGGACAUGGCAAUGCUUUAAAAGGAAAGUUUUGGGGCUGAAGCCAAGCACCAGGCACUGAGAGAGGUCACAUUGCUCUUAGGAUGUCCUGGGUCCUUCACCCUUUUACUCUGAUACUUUUUGUUGAUCUGGGGAAAAUUCCUCUAGUGUCCCACUGCUGGAAGGUCUUAUUUGGGAGCAGGUGACUGUGCCAUCCCCUCAGAGGGUACCUUGUCUCCUCCAGGGAUUUGACCAAACCA